UGACACUCCCACUGAUGGCUGCGUUUCAAAGAUCUUUGGAAAAAGUAACUGAAGAAAUGGGGGGGAAGCACAGCCAUUCAUAAGUGUGAGAGAACUAAAUAGUUAUGUACUUAUGCCAUUAAGAAAAACAAAAGUGUCAGAAGGGGAGGCUGAAUGGUUGGUCCAGACGUCAUUCUCACUUCUUCACACUGCUCCUCCCUUCUUUUACUAAACAUUAAAGAGGAUGACAAUGGGGGGAUUGGCAAACUGAAGCCCUUGAGCCAUAUUGAGCCGCCACCUGUUUUUGUAAAUAAUG
rnacentral:lncRNA from 1 species